GUGAAAUUGUUGAAAGGGAAACGCUUGAAGUCAGUCGCGUCUUGCGGGACUCAGCCUUGCUUUUGCUUGGUGUAUUUCCUGUAUGACGGGCCAGCAUCGAUUUCAGUCGUUGGAUAAAGUUGGAGGGAAUGUGGCACCUUCGGGUGUGUUAUAGCCCUUCUUCGUAUACAACGGCCGGGAUCGAGGUCUGCAGCACGCCUUUUGGCCGGGGUUCGCCCACGUACGUGCUUAGGAUGCUGGCGUAAUGGCUUUAAACGACCCGUCUUGAAACACGGACCAGGAGUCA
rnacentral:rRNA from 1 species